rnacentral:rRNA from 1 species
UAGGGAAUCUUCCGCAAUGGACGCAAGUCUGACGGAGCAACGCCGCGUGAGUGAAGAAGGAUUUCGGUUCGUAAAACUCUGUUGUUAGAGAAGAACAGCGCAUAGAGUAACUGUUAUGCGUGUGACGGUAUCUAACCAGAAAGCCACGGCUAACUAGGUGCCAGCAGCCGCGGUAAUACGUAGGUGGCAAGCGUUGUCCGGAUUUAUUGGGCGUAAAGCGAGCGCAGGCGGUCAAUUAAGUCUGAUGUGAAAGCCCCCGGCGCAACCGGGGAGGGUCAUUGGAAACUGGUUGACUUGAGUGCAGAAGAGGAGAGUGGAAUUCCAUGUGUAGCGGUGAAAUGCGUAGAUAUAUGGAGGAACACCAGUGGCGAAGGCGACUCUCUGGUCUGUAACUGACGCUGAGGCUCGAAAGCGUGGGUAGCAAACAGG